rnacentral:rRNA from 1 species
GACGAACGCUGGCGGCGUGCUUAACACAUGCAAGUCGAACGGAAAGGCCCUGCUUUUGUGGGGUGCUCGAGUGGCGAACGGGUGAGUAACACGUGAGUAACCUGCCCUUGACUUUGGGAUAACUUCAGGAAACUGGGGCUAAUACCGGAUAGGAGCUCCUGCUGCAUGGUGGGGGUUGGAAAGUUUCGGCGGUUGGGGAUGGACUCGCGGCUUAUCAGCUUGUUGGUGGGGUAGUGGCUUACCAAGGCUUUGACGGGUAGCCGGCCUGAGAGGGUGACCGGGCACGUGGGGCCUGAGGGAGGCCCGAGACCCGAAGGGGGGACAAUGGGGGGAAGUCUGACACAGGGGGGGGGGGCGUAUGCAGGCAGCCCCCGGGGGGGAAGGGCGUCUUGGGGGUGAGAACCGGAUUGCGCUUGGGACGAAGGGGGAGUGACGUUAGGGGAAAAAGAAGCACCGGCUAACUCCGUG